rnacentral:pre_miRNA from 1 species
GUAGUAUUCCCUCCGUCCCAAAAUUCUUGUCUUACAUUUGUUUAGAUACGGAUGUAUCUAACACUAAAAUGUAACUAGAUACAUCCAUAUUUAGACAAAUUUAAGACAAUAAUUUUGGGACGAAGGGAGUACAAA